GGGUACGUAGCUUAACAGUAAAGCACUCAGUGGCCAAGGUGGUUAGAGUCGCGUGCAGAAUGUGGGACGCCGCAACUGCUCGUCCUGACUAGAAGCACCUGAGAGAUCGCCGGUUCGAGCCCGGCCGAUGUCAACA